GGCAUCCUCUUCUAACUUCUGAGUAUGUAAGAACAGAGAGAAAGAAAAACUCAGUAGGCACUUUCACUUGUGAUUUAGGGUGAUUUGGAGUUGGAUUUUGAAUAUGUUGAAGUUGAAGAAAAGAUAGACGAAGGCAUUAUUUCAUCACUUUUUGGAGUCAUUUAGAGCUUCAGGAGUACGAUUUGCCUAGCGAAGUGAGCUAUGAAGUUGAAGAUCAAGGUAAAAUAAUUAAUCUUAGUAGCAAACAAGGAGGAGAUGACGUGAUUGAAGAAAUUGUGUUUCCAUCUUUGCUGUCCCUUUUGAGGUGAUGAUCAGAUACAUGCAAGUGCUAUUUUCAUACUUUUGAUAGCAGAAAGAAAAAUCCGUGUGUAAUAUUGAUGUUCAUAUGAUAAUAGGUUGACUCUGUUCAUAUAGUACUGGUGACGGAUAUUUAUUCAAACUAUUUGGACUCUUAAUUGCAUUCGCAAACACAUUCAUAUUAGAGCUAAGGUAUAAAAUGACGCCGUAAUUUUGUUAAUAUUUUUUAUAUUGAUGUACUGCCAUGCCGCUGCAAAUAUUAUUAUUUGUAAAUAAAUGAAUUUUAUCGUAUGAUAUGGAAAACAUUAUAUCAUGCCGUAAGAAAUUAGAUAUUUUACUCAUAUGAUAUUAAAAUGUUAUUAUCGUAAUAUUAUGUUUAGUGGUUGUUUGGAUAGCGAGUACUUACCCUCAGUUUUGUCAUAACCUGUUGUAAGAAAAUUAUGUAGAAAACCAUAUUUUAUUAAUAGUCGUUUUUCCAGAAGCGAAGUUUUUGCAUGUUGCGAGAACUAUUUUAGGAUAUUUAUGGGGUAGUUAAAGAAAAGCAAACAGAGUUUUAGUUUGUUACGCUCGUAGACAAGUUUGAGAAAAAUAGAUCUUUAAAUACCCAUUAACCAAACAACCCCUUAAAGUCUAAGCAAAUGAUUCUAAAAACAAACCGGAUAUUUAUAAUACGGCUACUAAAUGUUCAGUUACUAAUUAUUUGAAAUGUAAACAUGUAUGUUGGUUAGGUACUAUGGAAAAUUUAGUAGUGUACUAUGGGAACGUCUUACGCGACGGUCCAUGCGGGGUGGAUGUGUCCUUCUAUGAGUCGACUACAGUUGUGGUGAGAGACAUGGUCAACGUGGGUUACGCAGCUGUUAGAAGGUGCAUCCGAGCGGUGUUUGGCCCAGUGAUGCAGGAAAAAAAAUGACAAUGGAGGCCUUCAUCGUUGAUGGAGGAAAUGAUGGGACAGUUGCCCGUUGGGGUUUGCGGCCUGUCACAGAUGAUCGGUCAUGGGGGUCGUACAUGAGGUUUGCAAGCAAUCCCAAUAACUCAAUGUAUGGUCAGCCGAUGGUGUAUGUGGAGUUCAUUUCAGUCACUGAUGUUGCCGGAUGCAGUAGCAGGGGUGGUGAGGUCGAGUUGGCCAUCACAUCAGCCCCUAGCAUCGGCCCAUCGGAACCGACGGGCGGCCAUCCUGUGUAUGACACAGGAUAUUGGUCGGCGGCCGUUAUAUCCGCCACCCAUUUUUCCCGCAAAUGCUUUCCCCUCAAUAUUUUCCCGCAAACGCUUUCCCUUCAUAUGUUCCGCCACCCAUUUCCCGACAAUGCUUUCCCGCCAUAUGUCCCCGCCACUCGUUUCCCGCCAUAUGUUCCCGCCAACCCUUUCCCGCCAUACUGCACUCGUUCUUUCCCGCCAUUUUCUCCUCUCUACCUAUAAAACCCCCUUCAGACGGAGGUGGAUAAGCAUUCGA